rnacentral:rRNA from 1 species
UACGUAGGGGGCUAGCGUUGUCCGGAAUCAUUGGGCGUAAAGCGUGCGUAGGCGGUCCGCGAAGUCUGAUGUGAAAGCCCCGGGCUCAACCUGGGAACUGCAUUGGAAACUAACGGGCUCGAGUGUGGCAGAGGGGGGUGGAAUUCCACGUGUAGCAGUGAAAUGCGUAGAGAUGUGGAGGAACACCGAUGGCGAAGGCAGCCCCCUGGGCUAACACUGACGCUCAGGCACGAAAGCGUGGGGAGCAAACAGG